rnacentral:pre_miRNA from 1 species
CUCGCUCCCCGCCGGCCUUCACAACUGGCUGCUUUACUGUAGAGGAAGGGGUACAGCAUCCAGUUGUGUGAGACGGUGGUGGGCUCU